GAGGCAGAAGCACGUAAACUAAGAUUGGAAUGAUACAGAGAAGAUUAGCAUGAACCCUGCUCAAGGAUGACACUCAGAUGCACAAAGGUGUAGGGUAGUAUA
ensembl:snRNA U6 U6 spliceosomal RNA